UACGUAGGGGGCGAGCGUUGUCCGGAUUUAUUGGGCGUAAAGAGCGUGUAGGCGGCCAAGUAGGUCCGGUGUGAAAACUCGAGGCUUAACCUCGAGAUGUCAUCGGAAACCAUUUGGCUAGAGUCCGGAAGAGGAAAGUGGAAUUCCUGGUGUAGCGGUGAAAUGCGCAGAUAUCAGGAGGAACACCGGUGGCGAAGGCGGAUCUCUGGGCCUUGCCUGACGCUGAGGCGCGAAAGCUAGGGGAGCGAACAGG
rnacentral:rRNA from 1 species